rnacentral:rRNA from 1 species
CCUACGGGUGGCUGCAGUGGGGAAUAUUGGACAAUGGGGGAAACCCUGAUCCAGCAAUGCCGCGUGUGUGACGAAGGCCUGCGGGUUGUAAAGCACUUUCGGUUGGGAAGAAAAGUUUGGCGCCAAUACCGCCGAACCUUGACGUUACUGCCAGAAGAAGCACCGGCUAACUCUGUGCCAGCAGCCGCGGUAAUACAGAGGGUGCCAGCGUUCGUCGGAAUCGCUGAGCGUAUCGCGUGCGUCGGGUGUCAAAUCCCCGGGCUUAACCUGGGAACUGCAGUCGAUACUACAUGGCUAGAGUAUGGUAGAGGGAAGUGGAAUUUCCGGUGUAGCGGUGAAAUGCGUAGAUAUCGGAAGGAACACCAAUGGCGAAGGCAGCUUCCUGGACUAAGACUGACACUGAGGCACGAAAGCGUGGGUAGCAAACAGGAUUAGAUACCCCGGUAGUC